rnacentral:rRNA from 1 species
CCUACGGGCGGCGGCAGUGAGGAAUAUUGGUCAAUGGCCGCAGGGCUGAACCAGCCAAGUCGCGUGAGGGAUGACGGUCCUAUGGAUUGUAAACCUCUUUUGUCAGGGAGCAAAGGGCGCCACGUGUGGCGCUUUGCGAGUACCUGAAGAAAAAGCAUCGGCUAACUCCGUGCCAGCAGCCGCGGUAAUACGGAGGAUGCGAGCGUUAUCCGGAUUUAUUGGGUUUAAAGGGUGCGCAGGCGGAAUGUCAAGUCAGCGGUAAAAUUUCGGGGCUCAACCCCGUCGUGCCGUUGAAACUGGCGUUCUUGAGUGAGCGAGAAGUAUGCGGAAUGCGUGGUGUAGCGGUGAAAUGCAUAGAUAUCACGCAGAACUCCGAUUGCGAAGGCAGCAUACCGGCGCUCAACUGACGCUCAUGCACGAAAGCGUGGGUAUCGAACAGGAUUAGAUACCCCAGUAGUC